CGCGAAUAGCUCAUUACAACAGCUAUAAUUUACUUGAUCUUGACUUCCUACUUGGAUAACUGUGGUAAUUCUAGAGCUAAUACAUGCACCAAAGCUCCGACCUUACGGGAAGAGCGCAUUUAUUCGAACAAAACCAGGCGGCUUCGGCCGUCCGCAGUUGACUCAGAAUAACUAAGCUGAUCGCAUGGUCUUGAACCGGCGACGUGUCUUUCAAGUAUCUGCCUUAUCAACUUUCGAUGGUUGUGUAUCUGACUACCAUGGUGGUGACGGGUAACGGAGGAUAAGGGUUCGACUCCGGAGAAGGGGCCUGAGAAAUGGCCACUACGUCUAAGGAUGGCAGCAGGCGCGCAAAUUACCCACUCUCAGAAUGAGGAGGUAGUGACGAGAAAUAACGAGACCGUUCUCUACGAGGCCGGUCAUCGGAAUGGGUACAAUUUAAACCCUUUAACGAGUAUCUAUGAGAGGGCAAGUCUGGUGCCAGCAGCCGCGGUAAUUCCAGCU
rnacentral:rRNA from 1 species